GCGGGCUGGACCUCUCGGGGUUACAGCCUUGCUGAAUUAUUCACCCUUGUCUUUUGCGUACUUCUUGUUUCCUUGGUGGGUUCGCCCACCACUAGGACAAACAUAAACCUUUUGUAAUUGCAAUCAGCGUCAGUAACAAAUUAAUAAUUACAACUUUCAACAACGGAUCUCUUGGUUCUGGCAUCGAUGAAGAACGCAGCGAAAUGCGAUAAGUAGUGUGAAUUGCAGAAUUCAGUGAAUCAUCGAAUCUUUGAACGCACAUUGCGCCCUUUGGUAUUCCAAAGGGCAUGCCUGUUCGAGCGUCAUUUGUACCCUCAAGCUUUGCUUGGUGUUGGGCGUCUUGUCUCUAGCUUUGCUGGAGACUCGCCUUAAAGUAAUUGGCAGCCGGCCUACUGGUUUCGGAGCGCAGCACAAGUCGCACUCUCUAUCAGCAAAGGUCUAGCAUCCAUUAAGCCUUUUUUCAACUUUUGACCUCGGAUCAGGUAGGGAUACCCGCUGAACUUAAGCAUAUCAUAG
rnacentral:rRNA from 1 species